ACUCCUGCGGGAGGCAGCAGUGGGGAAUUUUGGACAAUGGGGGCAACCCUGAUCCAGCAAUGCCGCGUGAGUGAAGAAGGCCUUCGGGUUGUAAAGCUCUUUUGUCAGGGAAGAAACGGUGGUGGCGAAUAACUACUACUAAUGACGGUACCUGAAGAAUAAGCACCGGCUAACUACGUGCCAGCAGCCGCGGUAAUACGUAGGGUGCAAGCGUUAAUCGGAAUUACUGGGCGUAAAGCGUGCGCAGGCGGUUGUGUAAGUCAGAUGUGAAAUCCCCGGGCUCAACCUGGGAAUUGCAUUUGAGACUGCACGGCUAGAGUGUGUCAGAGGGGGGUAGAAUUCCACGUGUAGCAGUGAAAUGCGUAGAUAUGUGGAGGAAUACCGAUGGCGAAGGCAGCCCCCUGGGAUAACACUGACGCUCAUGCACGAAAGCGUGGGGAGCAAACAGGAUUAGAUACCCGGGUAGUCCCAUGA
rnacentral:rRNA from 1 species